GAUGAACGCUGGCGGCGUGCCUAAUACAUGCAAGUCGAGCGAACAGAUGAGGAGCUUGCUCCUCUGACGUUAGCGGCGGACGGGUGAGUAACACGUGGAUAACCUACCUAUAAGACUGGGAUAACUUCGGGAAACCGGAGCUAAUACCGGAUAAUAUAUUGAACCGCAUGGUUCAAUAGUGAAAGACGGUUUUGCUGUCACUUAUAGAUGGAUCCGCGCCGCAUUAGCUAGUUGGUAUGGUAACGGCUUACCAAGGCAACGAUGCGUAGCCGACCUGAGAGGGUGAUCGGCCACACUGGAACUGAGACACGGUCCAGACUCCUACGGGAGGCAGCAGUAGGGAAUCUUCCGCAAAGGGCGAAAGCCUGACGGAGCAACGCCGCGUGAGUGAUGAAGGUCUUCGGAUCGUAAAACUCUGUUAUUAGGGAAGAACAAAUGUGUAAGUAACUAUGCACGUCUUGACGGUACCUAAUCAGAAAGCCACGGCUAACUACGUG
rnacentral:rRNA from 1 species